GACGAACGCUGGCGGCGUGCCUAAUACAUGCAAGUCGAACGAACUCUGGUAUUGAUUGGUGCUUGCAUCAUGAUUUACAUUUGAGUGAGUGGCGAACUGGUGAGUAACACGUGGGAAACCUGCCCAGAAGCGGGGGAUAACACCUGGAAACAGAUGCUAAUACCGCAUAACAACUUGGACCGCAUGGUCCGAGUUUGAAAGAUGGCUUCGGCUAUCACUUUUGGAUGGUCCCGCGGCGUAUUAGCUAGAUGGUGGGGUAACGGCUCACCAUGGCAAUGAUACGUAGCCGACCUGAGAGGGUAAUCGGCCACAUUGGGACUGAGACACGGCCCAAACUCCUACGGGAGGCAGCAGUAGGGAAUCUUCCACAAUGGACGAAAGUCUGAUGGAGCAACGCCGCGUGAGUGAAGAAGGGUUUCGGCUCGUAAAACUCUGUUGUUAAAGAAGAACAUAUCUGAGAGUAACUGUUCAGGUAUUGACGGUAUUUAACCAGAAAGCCACGGCUAACUACGUGCCAGCAGCCGCGGUAAUACGUAGGUGGCAAGCGUUGUCCGGAUUUAUUGGGCGUAAAGCGAGCGCAGGCGGUUUUUUAAGUCUGAUGUGAAAGCCUUCGGCUCAACCGAAGAAGUGCAUCGGAAACUGGGAAACUCGAGUGCAGAGAGGACAGUGGACUCCAUGUGUAGCGGUGAAAUGCGUAGAUAUAUGGAAGAACACCAGUGGCGAAGGGCGGCUGUCUGGUCUGUAACUGACGCUGAGGCUCGAAAGUAUGGGUAGCAAACAGGAUUAGAUACCCUGGUAGUCCAUACCGUAAACGAUGAAUGCUAAGUGUUGGAGGGUUUCCGCCCUUCAGUGCUGCAGCUAACGCAUUAAGCAUUCCGCCUGGGGAGUACGGCCGCAAGGCUGAAACUCAAAGGAAUUGACGGGGGCCCGCACAAGCGGUGGAGCAUGUGGUUUAAUUCGAAGCUACGCGAAGAACCUUACCAGGUCUUGACAUACUAUGCAAAUCUAAGAGAUUAGACGUUCCCUUCGGGGACAUGGAUACAGGUGGUGCAUGGUUGUCGUCAGCUCGUGUCGUGAGAUGUUGGGUUAAGUCCCGCAACGAGCGCAACCCUUAUUAUCAGUUGCCAGCAUUAAGUUGGGCACUCUGGUGAGACUGCCGGUGACAAACCGGAGGAAGGUGGGGAUGACGUCAAAUCAUCAUGCCCCUUAUGACCUGGGCUACACACGUGCUACAAUGGAUGGUACAACGAGUUGCGAACUCGCGAGAGUAAGCUAAUCUCUUAAAGCCAUUCUCAGUUCGGAUUGUAGGCUGCAACUCGCCUACAUGAAGUCGGAAUCGCUAGUAAUCGCGGAUCAGCAUGCCGCGGUGAAUACGUUCCCGGGCCUUG
rnacentral:rRNA from 1 species